ACAUGUUUUCCUGCCUUCGCAACUGUUUUGGGAGGGGGAACGUCGAUUGUGGAGAGACUAGAGUGAAGGAGUCUGGCCUUUCGUCUCAAAGUAAUGAUGGACAAAGACAGCACUUCUGGGGAAUGUUGAACGCUGGGAGAGAAACAUCAUCCACUGGAACUGAGCUAAGCAAGAAGCAGGCCAAGAAGGAAAAUAAGAGGUGGAUUUAAGAGCUGCAGCUCAUUACAGAGGAGCGAAACGACCUGAGAGAUUGCCUGAUGUUUAUGACAGAGAGAUCCAUGAAGAACAGGUAUGAAUCGCUCCAAACGCUCUUGUUCCAUUCCUGGGUGUUCAAUGUCUCCUUCAUCUUAUCCUUUUAAGGUUUUGGGUUCUAGAAAGCUGUGUCUCUGUAACGACCCCUUUUUAAACCUCACCUCCCAUAUAGAGGAGAUUCAGAACCUGACCCUUCCUGAGGAGCCAGAUGGAAAAUGGACUCAUCUGCUUCCAUUUAUUGAAAAGCAGAACUUGUGGUCUGAAUGAAGAAUUCGGGGAUAAAGUCAGGGAGAGUGAGUGCCCAAUGUGCAUUUGCAAAGCCCUUGACAGCUGGUGGCUGUGCAAGAUUGUAAUUGCAGUGAGUUUAUGGUGAGUCUCUGUACUUGCUAGGCAGGGGACUGAGUGCUGGAAGAUCCACGCAGUAGCCUGAGGGGCCUGGUACCAAACUGUUCAUCUCAAUGCUUGACUAGAAGGUCUCAGGCUCAGGCCUGUUUGUUCUUGUCUGUGUGUCUUGCCCUCUGAGACAGCAAUGGUGCAUGCAUUUCUCCUGGUUCUCACAGUGCUCUCUGUUUCCAUAUUUCUCUUUCUCUGUUUACAUUUCUCUUUAUUUGUGGCUGUGUCUCAGUCUGUGUAUGUGCAUGUGCACACAUUCAAAUGCAUAUGUAUAACAUUUAUAUGUUUAUAUUUCCCUCCAAAUUUGAGUCUAGGGGUCUAUGUCUUGGCCUGAGUAUUUACCCAUGCAGCACUUUCAUGGAGAUGUGAGUGCUUUGUUCUGGGAGCCCCACUGUCAACAGCCCAAUUCUUUGACUGUGUGGUCACAUUUGUCUGUAUAGUUGAAACCAUUGGGCAGAUUAUUAUUUUGUGGCCAGAUGUGAUCUCUACUCCAUAAUUAUGUGUAAUGCCUGUCUCUACACUAUUAGUUAUUCAGAAUGAAUAAUUCCUGUUGUCAAAACAGGAAAAAUCAAAUCACAUUUUCUGGGUGUGUAGGGGAGUACCCGGAAGAGCUGUGGCUGAGGCUUUUGAUAACAUAACUGUCUUGACUCCAGGUCCAGUCUUCUGUAUUGAGCAAAGGGAGCCAGGGACCCCUCCAUCUGGAUGCUGAGCUUCCGGUGUCCUGGCCCCAGAAUAACAAGUUUCUGAAGCUGAAGAAGAUCCCAAUAUAUAGAAUUCAGAAGGUGUCCUUCCAGGGCUGGGGUAGUACAGGACCCACCCUAAGUUCAUAUAUUCCUAAAUGCUGAUGUUUGCUGUAUUCUAUCAUUUGGGGCCAGACCCCACUUCAGGCCAAAUCCAUAUUAUGAAGACCUGGAGAGAAUGGAGGAGGUGGUCAUGUCAAUUCUGCACAACUUAGAGAUGGAGAACACUGAGAUCCAUGAUAAUAGCCACAAGCUGAAGAAGGAGAUUACCUUCUCUAGUAACCUGCUCAGCCACUCCUGAUGGAGAACACAUGUAUGAAGAACUUCGUCACAUCUAUGCAGGAGAGCAAGGUGGUACAGAUUGAUUGUGCACUGAUACAAAAAUAUUUGAUUGAAUUGAACAAGAAUGAUAAAUAUGAACAGGAGAAGACCAGAAACCGCCAGACCCCAGCAAUAUCUGGUAGGAAUAAGCAGCUGUGUGAGCUUAACAAUAUCUGAUACCAUUUUCCAAUUUCAUACAUCUUUGCUUUCCCCUACAAUCUUUCUAAUUUACACUCCCAACGAGCCAACCAUGGCCUGUAAUGGAAUUGUUCAUUGCUCUGUCUAUGUACAAGUAUUCUGGGAAGUUAACCACUUUGCAGAAACUGAACUAUUGGCAAGUAUAUUUUGCUUCUCUUUUUGAAGCUGCAGUCCAGAAAUGGUGACAGAUGAAUAACAUAUCAUAUUAUGGCAUGACUGUGUGAUAUGCUAUGUAGAGUUUUGAACAAGGUCUUGGUCCUGUGACAAAUGACAUUUUGUGGUCAUGUGACCUCCUAGGUAGGAAGCACCGUUGUGGGAUAAGAACCAAUUGCAAAUGUCGAAUUCAUCCUUGUCAUUGACUUUUUUUUUUAUCUUGGUGACAUGUGGACAUCUCCUUUCUUCCUGCAACCCAAUGAGGUCUCUUCCCAUUGCCCUGUUCUUGGUUUGCACUGGUAUAAGUCUGGGUCCCAGAUUGGCAGCCCACAUUACUGUGAUGCUUGCUGGAGAUUUUCCCUGCCCGCAGAGUUAGCAACAAUGAUAUCACUUAAAAUGUCCAUGUUGACUGUCCAAUAGAACUGAGGUGGUAGAAGGCAGCAUUCUGACAGCUGGCUUGCAUUUCCCCACCAAAUCAGUGUCUGAAAAACUGCCUUCCUCUCCCAGGUCUCAGAAAGUGCAAGAGAGCUGGAAUUGGACACACCCCAGUAAGAGAGCUUCCUGAAGAAUAAGUUGCUUUCUCAGGAGUCCCCUGCUGACAAACAUCCUGACUAUUAACAACAUUUUUUGGAUGAAUAUUCUUCCUCAUAGUUAAUAUGUCAUUGCUUAGAGACCCUAAAUUUAUAUAUCACUAAGCCAGCCUGACUGACUGAGGUCUUACUCACUUUCUUCUUUAGAAAUCACCACUUAAGAGACACCUUGGGGGACCGCCUUUCAUUAUGUGUGCUAGAGGAGAAACAGCAAUACAUCUGUGCUUCUAAAUGUUCGUUAAGAAUAUGAUGUUUAGGGGCUGGGGACUUAGCUCAGUGGUAGAGCGCUUACCUAGGAAGCGCGAGGCCCUGGGUUCGGUCCCCAGCCCCGAAAAAAAGAACCAAAAAAAAAAAAAAAAAAGAAUAUGAUGUUUAGAAAUGUUCUGUUAUGAUUUUCAUUGAAGUUUUCUAUUUGUUGUUUCAUAGUUAUAUGCUCUUGUUACUAUUUUUCAUUUUUAAAAUACUUUUAAAUAUUUAUAUUAAUUCAUUUUAAUCCUGUUUUGUUGUAAAUUGUAUUUCUUAUCAAUAAAAAUUGAUUUUAAUCUCUUGACUCUUAAGACCAUCAUUCUUAUUCAAGGGUUCUUUCUGCUCCUGUGGACUUAGAACUGACAGCUGGAGAUGGAUCUCUGCAUGUUCCAGGGAGCCUGGGCUAAAUAGUGAAUUCAAAGCCAGCAAGGGGUACCCAGUGUGAAGUGUCUUCUGUGUGGAUAAUGUGGCUGUCUCUCAGAUGCACACUUUACUAUGUAAUCACUGCCAUACUUUACCCAUACUGUCAUGUGUUCUGCUCACCUUAACAUAUAACAGUCUGCAUCUCACAUUCAUUGUUGACCCUGUGCCCCACAUAUUGAGUAAUAUACACUCAUUGCUGUACAGCUACAGAAAAAUUGACAACAUUCUCAAAGGAAUACAGAAGUCAUCCUAAUGGAGAACCAUGUGCUUCAGCUUUUCUUGCAAUACAGCAUCGAUAUUUACCCCAGAGAUUAUGACCUUCAAUGUCAUGCUGGGAAACAGGUUUUGACAGAUGGUCUUGUC